GGAGAAUACCAAAUGUACUUCCCUCCACCCCCUGCAGGAGGAGCCCUCCUCAGCCUCAUCAUUAGCAUCAUGAAAGAUGGCAAAGAAUUUCACAAAAGAGCUUUGCUGAUGUCAUAUGGCAAAAAAUAACUAACGAGACUCAUGAAAACGAUUAUUAGGAAAAUCGCCUCAAAUCGAGACACCACUGGUACCACACAUGUUGGUUGAAGAUGGAUCUAUUGUGUCUGUAAUCAGCACCAUCAAUGACGAAUUUGGCUGCAAGGGCCUCUCUCCAAGCACUGGAAUCAUUCUCAACAACCAGCUGUCUGACUUCUGCAAUAGAACUAAUAGCAUUUCUCCUGGUGAAGAGA